rnacentral:sRNA from 1 species
ACGCUCAGCAUACGGAAUGCGGCGGCGCGGGCCUGGACAAGCCGGAUACGCUGGCGACGUGCGCGCCCGAUCAAGCGGGCCGCAAAGCCGACAGCCGUCGCACCAGGGAGAAGCCCCAUG